UGAAUACGAGAUGCUACGGCGUCGAAGCAGUGUAUGUCAGACUUCCAAGAAAAGCUCGCAAUGUCAUAAAUAAAGAAUGCCUGUACCAUAACCGACACAGGUGGGUAGGUAGAGUAUACUAAGGGGCGCGAGAUAACUCUCUCUAAGGAACUCGGCAAAAUAACUCCGUAACUUCGGGAGAAGGAGUGCCUUCUAUUAGAAGGUUGCAAUAACAAGAUCCAAGCAACUGUUUAUCAAAAACACAGGUCUCCGCUAAGUCGUAAGACGAUGUAUGGGGGCUGACGCCUGCCCAGUGCCAGAAGGUUAAAGAAGUUGGUUAGCUUUGGCGAAGCUGAUGACUGAAGCCCUGGUGAACGGCGGCCGUAACAAUAACGGUCCUAAGGUAGCGAAAUUCCUUGUCGGGUAAGUUCCGACCCGCACGAAAGGCGUAAUGAUUUGGAUACUGUCUCGGAGAGGGACUCGGUGAAAUAGACUUGUCUGUGAAGAUGCGGACUACCUGCACCAGGACAGAAAGACCCUAUGAAGCUUUACUGUAACUUGAAAUUGAAAUUGGACUUUAUUUGCGCAGCAUAGGUGGAAGGCGUUGAGAUUACUCUUGCGGGAGUACUGGAGCCAUCAGUGAGAUACCACUCCUAUAAUGUUAGAUUUCUAACUUUGGAACAUGAUCUGGUCAAAGAACAGUUUCAGGCGGGCAGUUUGACUGGGGCGGUCGCCUCCCAAAUGGUAACGGAGGCGUACAAAGGUUUCCUCUGAACGGGUAGAAAUCGUAUCUAGAGUGUAAAGGCAUAAGGAAGCUUGACUGUGAGACCUACAAGUCGAGCAGGGACGAAAGUCGGUCUUAGUGAUCUGACGGUGCUGAGUGGAAAGGCCGUCACUCAACGGAUAAAAGUUACUCUAGGAUAACAGGCUGAUCUCCCCCAAGAGUUCACAUCGACGGGGAGGUUUGGCACCUCGAUGUCGGCUCAUCGCAUCCUGGGGCGGUAGUACGUCCCAAGGGUUGGGCUGUUCGCCCAUGAAAGCGGUACGCGAGCUGGGUUCAGAACGUCGUGAGACAGUUCGGUCCAUAUCCGGUGUAGGCGUUAGAAUAUUGAGAGGAGCCUUCUUUAGUACGAGAGGACCGAGAAGGACAUACCUCUGGUGUACCAGUUAUCGUGCCAACGGUAAACGCUGGGUAGCUAUGUAUGGAGAGGAUAACCGCUGAAAGCAUCUAAGUGGGAAGCCCACCUCAAGAU
rnacentral:rRNA from 1 species